GACGAACGCUGGCGGCGUGCCUAACACAUGCAAGUCGAACGGAGCACUUCGGUGCUUAGUGGCGAACGGGUGAGUAACGCGUGAGAAACCUGCCUUUCAGUGGGGGACAACAGUUGGAAACGACUGCUAAUACCGCAUAAUGUUAUUUGGGGGCAUCCCCGAAUAACCAAAGCUUUAUGUGCUGAAAGCUGGUCCCGCGUCUGAUUAGCUAGCUGGCGGGGUAACGGCCCACCAUGGGGACGAUCAGUAGCCGGUCGGAGAGGAUGAACGGCCACAUGGGGACUGGGAAUCGGCCCAGAAUCCUACGGGAGGCAGCAAUUGGGAAUAUUGGGCAAUUGGCGAAAGCCUGACCCAGCAACGCCGCGUGAAGGAAGAAGGCCUUCGGGUUGUAAACUUCUUUUACCAGGGACGAAGAAAGUGACGGUACCUGGAGAAAAAGCAACGGCUAACUACGUGCCAGCAGCAGCCGCGGUAA
rnacentral:rRNA from 1 species